UUCAGAUAACAGUUCUUGCUCUUUGAAACACGUGGAAGGUAACUGCAAAAGAGCAUACAUUUCUCGGGAGAAAUCAGUGGGGGAAAAAAAGAUCAUACAGUCUACCCUCGCCACGUUCCAGCACACUGUUCCUGUGCAUCCCUGGCAGCUGACUAUUAUUCCUGAGAUGAGUAUCUGUGGUUUCCUUUCAAUUUUGAUUCCUUCCAUUUGAAAGUAUUAUAAGUGCUGCAAAAAGAAUUCUGCACUGCUUAAAUAAACUGAUAUUCACUGGGGUAUAUGAAACUGUUCUGCAAUAACAGCACAGACAAACUGAUUUGAAAGGUGGACUAACAGUUUGCAAAGGUAGUUUAUAUUCUUUAUGCUAAGUUCCAUCCUGCACAGAGACCCAGAUGCCCACAAACAAUAACUCUUUGGUUGAAAGCCAAAGCAAAAUUCCUUCACUCCUAUAAAUAAAAUUUACAAAUCCCCAACCUUGAAGGUUUAUGACUGUCAGGACUUUACCAGUUUUGUACUGAAAACCUAUCCUUAGCCAGGCAUGGUGGUGUGCACCUUUCGUACCAGCUACUCAGGGGCUGAGGCAGGAGGAUCACUUGAGCCCAGGGAUUCAAGACAGUCGUGAGCUAUGAUUAAACCUGUGAAUAGCCACUGCACUCCAUCCCGGGCACUCCCACGACCCCCGCCCCAACCCCCGGAAAGCCAUUCUUGAUUAGAACAUCCAUUUUGUGUAAAUUCUUGUCAUCAUUACUUUUUAUUACAGUAUUCUAACAGAGUGGUAAAGGUGACUAGGAAUAGGCACAAGCAAACAAACAUUCUAUUGUAAUCAUUUUAUAGUGGAAGAAAACCUAGCACGAGGGUAGAAUUCAAACAACUCCCACACACACUGCAUAGGUCCACCCCUUGCUUUUUUUGCCCUGCCCUAGCAGAGCUCAAAAUCUCUGCCAAUUUCCUGAAUGUUGCUGGUCUUUUCCAUAUCCGAUCAGUAUGAAUAUUUGUUGCACAAUCUGAAACUUUAAAUAUUUUCCACUGAAAACAUUUGAUAAACUAUAUUUAGAAGAGGAACGUUAUUAAGAGAAAUCAUUUGGCAAUAGACUUGGGGGCCUAUUUGAGGGCAGAGGUAGGAGGAGGGUGAGGAUUAAAAAACUACCUAUCAGGCAUUAUGCUGAUUACCUCGGUGACAAAAUUGUCUCUACACCAAAGCCCCUUAACACCGAGUUUAAUCAUGUAACAAAUCUGCACGUGUAUCCCUUGAACCUAAAAUAAAAGUUGGAAGGGGAAAAAAAAUUAAAUUAUUUUGGAAAAGAGGUGAAUUAUAAUGAACACUAAUUUUAUUAUAAGAUUAACUACAAAUUCUUGCAGUAAAAGUCUUUAGUCAUUUAUUUAAUUUUAGAACUCAGAAACAUUCCAUUAUAAAAACAUUUGCGUCAUUGUUACUGGAUCACAAUAAUUAAAGCAAAUGAUGAUUCAGUUUAGUGGUCUCAGGACACUAGCUCUCUAACAAACAAUGGGUAAAACCAUUUGAAAAAAUUGUAAGCACCACACCCAACUCCACCCAUGUCAACCAAAGACAAAUUAUCUAGAAGAUACAAGUAUCAGAAUUCAGUCUCUUCAAAAAGGAAAAA